rnacentral:lncRNA from 1 species
AUGCCUAGGCAAAGUAGGUGGCUGCCUUCAUGUAAUGAUAUGAGAAGUGCACUAAAGCCCUACUUCUUGUUUCCUGCAGAAUCUCUGUCUUGGGCUUGCCAGAGCAUAGCUUCUUACCACUUUUGUCAGAAUCCACCCCAUCCAGCCCCACCUUCCUUCAUUCAGACAACAUGUAUAAUAGACAGGUUUUGUUUCCAGAAGGCCACUGAUAAAAUGCUCGCUCCCAAGGACAUCCCAGAGAAUGGUUUGAAUACAGAAGGUAUAGGUGGUGAAAAAGCAUUCCUGUAUCUGCCCUAUGAAAGUACUGCUAAUCUCCUCCAACAUGAUUACAAAAAUAAUGAAGAAUUUUUUCUCUGCAGUGACUUUAUAAUUGGGCAGAUACUUGUUGUGUUUCGUUUCCCUGUGCUCAGCACUCCUUUUGAACUUGACUAAGGCUGCCUUCUGGGGAAAAAAAAAAAUGGUAGCUAUUGGCCAUAUGUGACUUAUCUUGAAUCAUAAAAGCAAAAGCAUGUGUUUGAGGACUGGGAAAUUAAGAUCUUGAAGCACCAAGUUGAUUCAGUCACCUUGAAGGGUUUUUCUGGGUGGUAAAAAAUCUUGAAGGGUUUUUCUGGGUAGUGAAGAAAGUUAACUUGCACAAGAAAUGUCCCUCUCUUUCAGAAACCCCUCUCAUACCUGAGAGCAGUGAAAUUAUAGGGGACACAGGCUCAGGAAUACAAGAGCUGGCUUUAAAAUAACUUGACAAAUCCUAAGGAAAUCUGGUAGAGAAAUGAUUCUCAUAUAGCAUGAAAUACCCUCGUACAGCGUUUAAGAGAAAUUAGAGAAAGCAGCUAAGUAGAAAGUUUUCUGUGAUGUGUAUUAUUUUCCAUGAAGUACAAUGUUUUAAAAACUGAAUCAAAAUAAUUUUGCAGCAGAAAAUUUUAAGUUGAGGGUGAAGUGGACUUAAUCUCAUAUAAAAAGAUAUUUACGAUGUGAAAAGUAAGAGUGAGUGUGUGAGUGAAGGUUUUAUAAAUUGCUGAGCGGUGUUAUGUUAGUUAAUGUUGAUACUGCUUUUAUUUUAGGAUCUUUAGUCUUUACAAGUAGAUCUUCUGAGAUGGUGGUUCUUGUCAGUGAAUUAUUGAGCAAAGGGCUUUACAGUGUUAUCUAUUCAUUGAAUAUACUAUGGGUGCAAUUAAAUGAGUAAUUUGUCCAUUCUUUAAUUUUUUAACUGUUUUUCUCUGUUACCUGUUUGGAAACAAAAAUAGUUUCCUAAGGGGCAAGAAUCUCAAGUCAAGUUUUUCCCUAAGAAAAUUUAAAAUUUCCAUUCAGGUUCAUUGCAAGCCAUGUUUGACAGUUAAUUCCACUAAGGACAUUUGAAUACGUAUGGAAGAAGCAUCAGAAAUUAAGGUGUUGAGCAUGGCUCCUAGCUCAAGAUGUGGUUUGUCUUUUUAACUCUUUGACUUGACAAGGAGGAUUCCCUUGAAUAUUAAACUAAUCAGACAAUAUAAAUUCAACUGGGGAAAAUAAAUUGAUGAAUCAGAUUGUAGGAAGUCA